rnacentral:siRNA from 1 species
UGCGACACCAUCUCCACGAGGAUC